rnacentral:rRNA from 1 species
UACGGGGGGUGCGAACGUUGUUCGGAAUCACUGGGCUUAAAGCGUGUGUAGGCGGAUCGUUAAGUGCCUUGUGAAAUCCCAUGGCUUAACCAUGGAACUGCUUGGCAUACUGGCGGUCUUGAGCCACUUAGGGGCAACCGGAACAAAUGGUGGAGCGGUGAAAUGCGUAGAUAUCAUUUGGAACGCCAAUGGUGAAAACAGGUUGCUGGGAGUGUGCUGACGCUGAGACACGAAAGCCAGGGGAGCGAACGGG